CUCCUACGGGAGGCAGCAGUGGGGAAUCUUCCGCAAUGGACGAAAGUCUGACGGAGCAACGCCGCGUGAGUGAUGAAGGAUUUCGGUCUGUAAAGCUCUGUUGUUUAUGACGAACGUGCAGUGUGUGAACAAUGCAUUGCAAUGACGGUAGUAAACGAGGAAGCCCCGGCUAACUACGUGCCAGCAGCCGCGGUAAUACGUAGGGGGCGAGCGUUGUCCGGAAUGAUUGGGCGUAAAGGGCGCGUAGGCGGCCUGCUAAGUCUGAAGUGAAAGUCCUGCUUUCAAGGUGGGAAGUGCUUUGGAUACUGGUGGGCUGGAGUGCAGGAGAGGAAAGCGGAAUUACCGGUGUAGCGGUGAAAUGCGUAGAGAUCGGUAGGAACACCAGUGGCGAAGGCGGCUUUCUGGACUGAAACUGACGCUGAGGCGCGAAAGCGUGGGGAGCAAACAGGAUUAGAUACCCUGGUAGUCCACGCGGUAAACGAUGAAUGCUAGGUGUAGGAGGUAUCGACCCCUUCUGUGCCGCAGUAAACACAAUAAGCAUUCCGCCUGGGAGUACGUUCCAGGAU
rnacentral:rRNA from 1 species